GAAUUUUGGACAAUGGGCGAAAGCCUGAUCCAGCAAUGCCGCGUGCAGGAUGAAGGCUUUCGGGUUGUAAACUGCUUUUGUACGGAACGAAAAGCUUUGGGCUACUACCCUGGAGUCAUGACGGCACCGACAGACUAAGCACCGGCUAACCACGUGCCAGCAGCCGCGGUAAUACGUAGGGUGCAAGCGUUAAUCGGACUUACUGGGCGUAAAGCGUGCACAGGCGGUUUUGUAAGGCAGAGGUGAAAUCCCCGGGCUCAACCUGGGAACUGCCUUUGUGACUGCAAGGCUAGAGUACGGCAGAGGGGGGUGGAAUUCCGCGUGUAGCAGUGAAAUGCGUAGAUAUGCGGAGGAACACCGAUGGCGAAGGCAACACCCUGGGCCUGUACUGACGCUCAUGCACGAAAGCGUGGGGAGCAAACA
rnacentral:rRNA from 1 species